GAUAGCAAACAAGUACCGCGAGGGAAAGAUGAAAAGGACUUUGAAAAGAGAGUCAAAGAGUGCUUGAAAUUGUCGGAGGGAAGCGAAUGGGGGCCGGCGAUGCGUCCCGGUCGGAUGUGGAACGGUGUAAGUCGGUCCGCCGAUCGGCUCGGGACGUGGACCGGUGCGGAUUGGUACGGCGGCCAAAGCCCAGGCUGUUGAUAUGCCUGUGGAGAUGCCGUUGUGCCGAUCGUGGUUGGCAGCGCGCGCCGUCACGGCGUGCUUUGGCACCUGCGUGCUCCUGGCACCGGCCUGC
rnacentral:lncRNA from 1 species